rnacentral:lncRNA from 1 species
UAGAAUAGCACCUGCCAUGUGGUACCCACUCAGAACAUUCAUUCUUCUUCUCUGAUCUACAAGGACACAGAGGAAAACAGGCUCUUGGUGUCGGAGGAUGCUAGGAGACGGGGCUGCAGAAGACGGAGGCACAUGUGUGGCACGCAGGCCACCGACUCAUGAGCCCAGGGCGGGCAUCACCCAUCAGCCACCGCAUGCUUUGCCCUGAGGCAGAGCUCUUCUCAACAUAGCCCCUGCCUGGCCACCCAGUUGACAGAGGCAGUGACAGUGUCCCCCGUCCUGCUUGAGUGACCGCCCAGGCCUAUGGGGCGAGUGCUCCUGGAGGCCGGGUCAGUGCCACUGGCUCUGGCUGUGCCUCCGUGGGGUUUUCUCACAGAAGCUUCUGUGGAACUUCCAGGCAGGCACCGUGGGUCCAUUCUUGGAGGGUCCUACCCUCCGAGAAGGAAGGCAGAAUGGUGGGGAGGCAAGGAUGGGCGGGAGUCGGCCUUGAUCCCCUUCCAGGCCCAGCCACCUGCCUGCUUCAUCCAGGUUGAAAAGGCAGGAAUUCUAUCCAGAUUAAUUUCUGGCACUCAGUCAAAGAGGGCUUUGUGACCUCUUAAGAGGGGAUCAAAGGGAUUCAGUGGAGAACUGUGAAAGGAGGGGCUUUCCCCAGAGGCAGGGGGCCCAGCCCACUCCAAGACUGCAGGAGGGGCCCUCAGUGGGAGGUGCAGCUGGUGAGUCCAGCCUGGCAGCCUCUUUGUGCACGUGUUCAAUCCAAAUGGGAAACCUUUUGGGGCCAGGCUGCCAGUCCCCCGCGAGGGCCACAGUCUCCAGCAUCUCCCAGCCACAGCCCAAGCCCCACAGUGGGUCAUCAGGGACCCCAUAACUAGUAACCAGGGCUGCUUCAGGGAUUGAAACUAACAAGUGGCAGAGGGCCGGGAGCAUUGGGAAAGAGAGCUCAUGUCUCGCAGGCUUUCGUUACAGUAGAGGGAGAGAAAAACAAUUACUAGGCACCUACUAGGGUCGGGAGCUCUGCUGGGGACUUCUCAAAAUUUGGUUAGGCCUGUCUUGAAGCAGGAGCUGAGGAAGCAGAGAGGCACGUCCAGGAUCACACAGCUAGAGACAGGCAGGGCUGUGAAUUGAACCCAGGGGACAGGAGGAGGAUGGGCCUUUUGGCCUCUUCCGUUGGAGCCCACAGAGCUGCCACUUUGCCCAGCUGGAGCUAUCUUUGGAAGAGACACAGGACGUUUUCGAAAUAAACUUCUCAUUGAAGGAUAAAAUACAUCUAGAAAAGGGUACAAAUCAAAAAGAGUUACCAUUCACCUGGGCCCCUCCUCCCCACCAUGGGCAGCCACUGCUAUCCUGACUUCUAGCAGCACAGGUGAGCUUUGCAUAUACUUGAACUUUAUCUAAAUGGACUCAGACACCCUGAACUCUUUUGAGACUGGCUUCUUAUGAUUUGUCUGUGUUGUGUGUAGCAGCAGUUUGUCUAUUCACUUUGCUGGGUGGUGUUCUGUUGUCUGGUUAGACUCUGUUAACUUGUUCAUUCUGUGGAUAGGUCUUUCCAGUUUGGGGCUGUUACGAAUAGACCAUUGUAAACACUCUAGUGUACAUCUUUUGGUGAAUGUGUGUCCACAGUCCUGUUGCGUAUAUGCCUGGGAGCUGAAUUAUCAUUCGUUGAUGCUGCCCUGCAGUUUUGCAAAGUGGUUGCACCAGUGUAUACUUGCACCAGCAGUGUGCAAGAGCCCUAAGACACAGAGCAUUUAAAAACUGGCACUUACGAAGCUUUUUAAAAUACCGAAAAGGACAAAGAGAACUAAGAAAAUUCCCACUAUCCCUAAAUCUCUCUUAACUUCUUUUAAAUUGU